UACAGAGGGUGCAAGCGUUGUUCGGAUUUAUUGGGCGUAAAGAGCGUGUAGGCGGCCAGAUAGGUCAGCUGUGAAAACUCGAGGCUCAACCUCGAGAUGUCGGCUGAAACCAUCUGGCUAGAGUCCGGAAGAGGAGAAUGGAAUUCCCGGUGUAGCGGUGAAAUGCGCAGAUAUCGGGAAGAACACCCGUGGCGAAGGCGGUUCUCUGGGACGGUACUGACGCUGAGACGCGAAAGCGUGGGGAGCGAACAGG
rnacentral:rRNA from 1 species